rnacentral:lncRNA from 8 species
AUGCUCAUGCUUUGUGUUUUUCUCAUCCUGUGUCAGCUCCUCAUUUCUGUGAAUCUCAUAGUCUUCUCCUUGGCUGCUGCUGUAGUAGAGUAUUGCUCUGCUUCUAGCACUAUGUCAUCAUCGUGGGUGACAGGAACUAGGACAUCGUGGGUGACAGGAACUAGGACAUCAUCGUGGGUGACAGGAACUAGGACAUCAUCGUGGGUGACAGAAACUAGGACAUCAUCGUGGGUGACAGGAACUAUGACAUCAUCGUGGGUGACAGAAACUAGGACAUCAUCGUGGGUGACAGGAACUAUCACAUCGUGGGUGACAGAAACUAUGACAUCAUCGUGGGUGACAGGAACUAUGACAUCAUCGUGGGUGACAGAAACUAGGACAUCAUCGUGGGUGCCAGGAACUAUCACAUCAUCGUGGGUGACAGGAACUAGGACAUCAUUGUGGGUGACAGGAACUAGGACAUCAUCGUGGGUGACAGAAACUAGGACAUCAUCGUGGGUGACAGGAACUAUCACAUCAUCGUGGGUGACAGGAACUAUGACAUCAUCGUGGGUGACAGGAACUAUGACAUCAUCGUGGGUGACAGAAACUAGGACAUCAUCGUGGGUGACAGAAACUAGGACAUCAUCGUGGGUGACAGGAACUAUCACAUCAUCGUGGGUGACAGGAACUAUGACAUCAUCGUGGGUGACAGGAACUAUGACAUCAUCGUGGGUGACAGAAACUAGGACAUCAUCGUGGGUGCCAGGAACUAUCACAUCAUCGUGGGUGACAGGAACUAGGACAUCAUUGUGGGUGACAGGAACUAGGACAUCAUCGUGGGUGACAGGAACUAUCACAUCAUUGUGGGUGACAGGAACUAUCACAUCAUCGUGGGUGACAGGGACUAUCACAUCAUCGUGGGUGACAGGGACUAUCACAUCAUCGUGGGUGACAGGAACUAUCACAUCAUCGUGGGUGACAGGAAUUAUCACAUUGUGGGUGACAGAAACUAGGACAUCAUCGUGGGUGACAGGAACUAUGACAUCAUCGUGGGUGACAGAAACUAGGACAUCAUCGUGGGUGCCAGGAACUAUCACAUCAUCGUGGGUGACAGGAACUAGGACAUCAUCGUGGGUGACAGGAACUAUGACAUCAUCGUGGGUGACAGGAACUAUCACAUCAUUGUGGGUGACAGGAACUAUCACAUCAUCGUGGGUGACAGGGACUAGGACAUCGUGGGUGACAGGAACUAGGACAUCAUCGUGGGUGACAGGAACUAUCACAUCAUCGUGGGUGACAGGAACUAUCACAUCAUCGUGGGUGACAGGAACUAUAACAUCAUCGUGGGUGACAGGAACUAUCACAUCAUCGUGGGUGACAGGGACUAUCACAUCAUCGUGGGUGACAGGGACUAUCACAUCAUCGUGGGUGACAGGAACUAUCACAUCAUCGUGGGUGACAGGGACUAUCACAUCAUCGUGGGUGACAGGAACUAUCACAUCAUCGUGGGUGACAGGGACAUCAUCGUGGGUGACAGGAACUGUCACAUCAUCGUGGGUGACAGGGACUAGGACAUCGUGGGUGACAGGAACUAUCACAUCAUCGUGGGUGACAGGGACUAUCACAUCAUCGUGGGUGACAGGGACUAUCACAUCAUUGUGGGUGACAGGGACUAGGACAUCGUGGGUGACAGGAACUAUCACAUCAUCGUGGGUGACAGGGACUAGGACAUCGUGGGUGACAGGGACUAUGACAUCGUGGGUGACAGGGACUAGGACAUCGUGGGUGACAGGGACUAGGACAUCGUGGGUGACAGGGACUAGGACAUCGUGGGUGACAGGGACUAGGACAUCGUGGGUGACAGGGACUAGGACAUCGUGGGUGACAGGGACUAGGACAUCGUGGGUGACAGGGACUAGGACAUCGUGGGUGACAGGGACUAUCACAUCAUCGUGGGUGACAGGGACUAGGGCAUCGUGGGUGACAGGGACUAGGACAUCGUGGGUGACGGGGAUCAUGUUGGUUAUAAUGCAGGACGUGGUGGAGCUUCAGUUUUAUUGGUUAUUCAGCAUUAGCGUAGCUUCUAAUGAAAUAAAAUAUUGUUGGAUUGUUCUGGGUGUGGUUCAUAAUUCUAAAAGUGAGCCAUAUAAUAUUCCCAGAUAUGUUGUAAAAAUCUGUCUCUCCCCUCCCUCCCAUUCUUCUCUUUUCCAGGACUCUUGGUGGCCUCUCCUCUUUCCCCAUCUCCUCCUCCACUCUGGAUCUGUCUGUUUCUCUCCCUCUCUCUCCCACCUUCACCAACCCUCCCAGCGUAUUCCCAGAAACAUGGUUACCCAUGACGACCAGCCAGGACUUCCUGCAGGUUCCAGUAUCCCGUGA